GUCUGGUAUAGUGAAAAUUACUCCUGUUUUCCCCUUGUAUUUGAGUGAUUCAAUUGAUGGUUUCCCCGGUUUGACCGAGGACGAUGAAGCCGGAGAGAACAGUGAAGUUAAUGCUGAAACUCGGCCAGGGUCUCAGUUGCCAGCCUUUUCUGGUGCAUUCACUUCUGCUCAGGUAAGGGAUGUAUUUGAGACAGAAAUGGAGCAUGACAAUAGCUCUGAUAGGGAUGGAGCUAGCACAAUAUUUGAAGAGACUGAAAGCAUUUCUAUUGGAGAGGUCAUGAGAAGUCCAGUCUUUAGCGAAGAUGAAUCAUCUGAUAACUCCCUCUGGAUUGACUUGGGUCAGAGUCCUUUGGGUUCUGAUGGUGCUGGGCAGUCUAACAAACAAAAGAUUGCCUCUCCAGCACCCCCAUUUUGGUUUGCUGGCAGGAAGAACAAUAAAAGGCUCUCUCCCAAGCCUUCAA
rnacentral:misc_RNA from 1 species